UCUUUAUGGGGUGACUGCGUACCUUUUGUAUAAUGGGUCAGCGACUUAUAUUCUGUAGCAAGGUUAACCGAAUAGGGGAGCCGAAGGGAAACCGAGUCUUAACUGGGCGUUAAGUUGCAGGGUAUAGACCCGAAACCCGGUGAUCUAGCCAUGGGCAGGUUGAAGGUUGGGUAACACUAACUGGAGGACCGAACCGACUAAUGUUGAAAAAUUAGCGGAUGACUUGUGGCUGGGGGUGAAAGGCCAAUCAAACCGGGAGAUAGCUGGUUCUCCCCGAAAGCUAUUUAGGUAGCGCCUCGUGAAUUCAUCUCCGGGGGUAGAGCACUGUUUCGGCAAGGGGGUCAUCCCGACUUACCAACCCGAUGCAAACUGCGAAUACCGGAGAAUGUUAUCACGGGAGACACACGGCGGGUGCUAACGUCCGUCGUGAAGAGGGAAACAACCCAGACCGCCAGCUAAGGUCCCAAAGUCAUGGUUAAGUGGGAAACGAUGUGGGAAGGCCCAGACAGCCAGGAUGUUGGCUUAGAAGCAGCCAUCAUUUAAAGAAAGCGUAAUAGCUCACUGGUCGAGUCGGCCUGCGCGGAAGAUGUAACGGGGCUAAACCAUGCACCGAAGCUGCGGCAGCGACACUAUGUGUUGUUGGGUAGGGGAGCGUUCUGUAAGCCUGUGAAGGUGUACUGUGAGGUAUGCUGGAGGUAUCAGAAGUGCGAAUGCUGACAUAAGUAACGAUAAAGCGGGUGAAAAGCCCGCUCGCCGGAAGACCAAGGGUUCCUGUCCAACGUUAAUCGGGGCAGGGUGAGUCGACCCCUAAGGCGAGGCCGAAAGGCGUAGUCGAUGGGAAACAGGUUAAUAUUCCUGUACUUGGUGUUACUGCGAAGGGGGGACGGAGAAGGCUAUGUUGGCCGGGCGACGGUUGUCCCGGUUUAAGCGUGUAGGCUGGUUUUCCAGGCAAAUCCGGAAAAUCAAGGCUGAGGCGUGAUGACGAGGCACUACGGUGCUGAAGCAACAAAUGCCCUGCUUCCAGGAAAAGCCUCUAAGCAUCAGGUAACAUCAAAUCGUACCCCAAACCGACACAGGUGGUCAGGUAGAGAAUACCAAGGCGCUUGAGAGAACUCGGGUGAAGGAACUAGGCAAAAUGGUGCCGUAACUUCGGGAGAAGGCACGCUGAUAUGUAGGUGAAGCGACUUGCUCGUGGAGCUGAAAUCAGUCGAAGAUACCAGCUGGCUGCAACUGUUUAUUAAAAACACAGCACUGUGCAAACACGAAAGUGGACGUAUACGGUGUGACGCCUGCCCGGUGCCGGAAGGUUAAUUGAUGGGGUUAGCGCAAGCGAAGCUCUUGAUCGAAGCCCCGGUAAACGGCGGCCGUAACUAUAACGGUCCUAAGGUAGCGAAAUUCCUUGUCGGGUAAGUUCCGACCUGCACGAAUGGCGUAAUGAUGGCCAGGCUGUCUCCACCCGAGACUCAGUGAAAUUGAACUCGCUGUGAAGAUGCAGUGUACCCGCGGCAAGACGGAAAGACCCCGUGAACCUUUACUAUAGCUUGACACUGAACAUUGAGCCUUGAUGUGUAGGAUAGGUGGGAGGCUUUGAAGUGUGGACGCCAGUCUGCAUGGAGCCGACCUUGAAAUACCACCCUUUAAUGUUUGAUGUUCUAACGUUGGCCCGUUAUCCGGGUUGCGGACAGUGUCUGGUGGGUAGUUUGACUGGGGCGGUCUCCUCCUAAAGAGUAACGGAGGAGCACGAAGGUUGGCUAAUCCUGGUCGGACAUCAGGAGGUUAGUGCAAUGGCAUAAGCCAGCUUGACUGCGAGCGUGACGGCGCGAGCAGGUGCGAAAGCAGGUCAUAGUGAUCCGGUGGUUCUGAAUGGAAGGGCCAUCGCUCAACGGAUAAAAGGUACUCCGGGGAUAACAGGCUGAUACCGCCCAAGAGUUCAUAUCGACGGCGGUGUUUGGCACCUCGAUGUCGGCUCAUCACAUCCUGGGGCUGAAGUAGGUCCCAAGGGUAUGGCUGUUCGCCAUUUAAAGUGGUACGCGAGCUGGGUUUAGAACGUCGUGAGACAGUUCGGUCCCUAUCUGCCGUGGGCGCUGGAGAACUGAGGGGGGCUGCUCCUAGUACGAGAGGACCGGAGUGGACGCAUCACUGGUGUUCGGGUUGUCAUGCCAAUGGCACUGCCCGGUAGCUAAAUGCGGAAGAGAUAAGUGCUGAAAGCAUCUAAGCACGAAACUUGCCCCGAGAUGAGUUCUCCCUGACUCCCUGAGAGUCCUGAAGGAACGUUGAAGACGACGACGUUGAUAGGCCGGGUGUGUAAGCGCAGCGAUGCGUUGAGCUAACCGGUACUAAUGAACCGUGAGG
rnacentral:rRNA from 1 species